GCCAGCAGGCAUAUCACCCUGCAGCCCAAGACUGGUUGCCCACUGAAGCUAAGCAAGGUUGAGCCUAGUCAGUACCUGGAUGGGAGACCUCCUGGGAAAACUAGGUUGCUGCUGGAA
rnacentral:rRNA from 1 species